AUGGCGGCCACCCCGCCGUCGUCGCGGGACCCGUCGCCGCAGCCCCGCCGUCCCGCCGCCGCCGCUGGCCGUCCCGCCGCCAGCGGCACCGGCGCCGGCGCCAGCGGCAACGGCAAGCGCGGCGGCCUCCUGCUCGGCCGCUACGAGCUGGGCCGCGUCCUCGGCCACGGCACCUUCGCCAAGGUCUACCACGCGCGCCACGCCGACACGGGCGAGACGGUCGCCAUCAAGGUGCUGGACAAGGAGAAGGCGCUGCGUGCCGGCCUCGUCCCGCACAUCAAGCGCGAGAUCACCAUCCUCCGCCGCGUCCGCCACCCCAACAUCGUGCGCCUCUUCGAGGUCAUGGCCACCAAGUCCAAGAUCUACUUCGUCAUGGAGUUCGUCCGCGGCGGCGAGCUCUUCGCGCGCGUCGCCAAGGGCCGCCUCAAGGAGGACACGGCCCGCCGCUACUUCCAGCAGCUCAUCUCCGCCGUCGGCUUCUGCCACGCGCGCGGCGUCUUCCACCGCGACCUCAAGCCCGAGAACCUCCUCGUCGACGAGCGCGGGGACCUCAAGGUCUCCGACUUCGGCCUCUCCGCCGUCGCCGACCAGUUCCACCCCGACGGCCUCCUCCACACCUUCUGCGGCACCCCCUCCUACGUCGCGCCCGAGAUGCUCGCGCGCCGCGGAUACGACGGCGCCAAGGCCGACAUAUGGUCCUGCGGGGUCAUCCUCUUCGUCCUCAUGGCCGGCUACCUCCCUUUCCAUGAUCAGAACCUCAUGGCCAUGUACCGCAAGAUUUACAGAGGGGAAUUCCGCUGCCCGAGGUGGUUCUCCAGAGAUCUCACCAGCCUGUUGAAUCGCCUUCUCGACACCAACCCGGAGACAAGGAUCACCAUGGCCGAAGUCAUGCAGAGCAGGUGGUUUCAGAAGGGAUUUCGGCCUGUCAGGUUCUAUGUUGAGGACGAUCAGCUGCACAGCUUAGGGGACGGUGAGAGUGAGGAGCUGGGGCUCGUCGAACCUACCGAGCCGCCGCCUCCUCCUCCUCUUCCGCCACCGCUGCCACCACCACCGCAGCAAGAGGAUGAUGACUCAGGGUGGGAGUCGGAUUCCUCCGUCGCAUCCUGCCCUGCCACGCUGUCGUCCGAGGAGCGGCAGCGGCCUGCCGGGCGUCUCACACGGCCAGCAAGCCUCAACGCUUUCGAUAUCAUAUCCUUCUCCAAGGGAUUUGAUCUAUCAGGGCUGUUCGAGGAGCGAGGGAGCGAAGUGAGAUUCAUCUCAGCACAGCCCAUGGAAACCAUUGUUACAAAACUGGAGGAGAUUGCCAAGAUGAAGAGCUUCUCCAUUCGGCGCAAGGACUGGCGCGUAAGCAUAGAAGGCACCAGGGAAGGGGAGAAGGGGCCAUUGACGAUUGGGGCUGAGAUAUUUGAGCUUACACCAAGCCUCUUGGUGUUGGAGGUGAAGAAGAAGGCUGGGGAUAAGGCAGAGUAUGAUGACUUCUGCAACAAGGAGUUGAAACCUGGGAUGGAGCCUCUCGUGCACCACCAACAGGGCUCGGCUCGAAAUGUACCUUCUGAUACGGAGUAGUUCUAAAGAAACCGAGCAGAAGCGAAGGGUUGCAAACAAUUCAAUUCCUGUUCCUGCAAGGUCACAAACAUAUGUUACAUAUCAGUGUUAUUCAGAAAGAGGUGCGGCAUGCCAUCUGUUGUCGCUCUUUGCUGAACAAGGAUCUAGGCUGCAGUUGCCAGUUAGAAAGGCUAAGCGCUGGCAAUCACAUAAAGACAUAUAGGUGUGAGUGAAAUCAAUAGCCUGUGGCAGUACAUCCUUGGAAGUCACUGCUUCGCUGAAUCGUUUGACAGUUGUGUUUGGUGAUUAUUAUCCUAUUAUCUUGGAUUGUGUUUAUACUUAGGAGCUGUUCGGUGAUCCACUAGCACCGCCAAAUUUGAGGAUCUGCAGAGCAGCUAUUCCCCCGCUCCGGGAUUUUUGACUUGUGGUCCGCCAGCUCCCGAAGCAAGAGUGUGGAGCGGAGGAGGGCCGAACAGGCCUUUAGUUUACAUGAGGCUCAUGUUUCCUGUAAAUUCUUAUCCCAUUCUAUUGCAUCCAUAUGGGAAGUGCUAUACACACGACGAUUUCUCGCCCGAGCUGUGUCCUUUGAUCGAACGUGAGAAGCAAAUCUGACGAUACAUGACAGCGUCGGGUUGGUAUCGUGUGUGAAGCAAUUUCAUAUCCAUAUUCAGUUAUCAUUUCGAUAGUGAUCGAGGGAUGCGGAUUGAUGUCUGGCACUCUUAAUUUCUGUUAUCUAAAAAUGUGAAAAGUUGUGAUGACAGGAAGAUAAGAUGUUGAUUUGGUCUUCAUAUAUCAUACAUAAAACG